rnacentral:rRNA from 1 species
CCCUUAUCCUUGUUUGCCAGCGAGUAAUGUCGGGAACUCCAGGGAGACUGCCGGUGAUAAACCGGAGGAAGGUGGGGACGACGUCAAGUCAUCAUGGCCCUUACGAGUAGGGCUACACACGUGCUACAAUGGCGCAUACAGAGGGCGGCCAACUUGCGAAAGUGAGCGAAUCCCAAAAAGUGCGUCGUAGUCCGGAUUGGAGUCUGCAACUCGACUCCAUGAAGUCGGAAUCGCUAGUAAUCGUGGAUCAGAAUGCCACGGUGAAUACGUUCCCGGGCCUUGUACACACCGCCCGUCACACCAUG